rnacentral:rRNA from 1 species
CCUACGGGGGGCAGCAGUAGGGAAUAUUGCACAAUGGGGGGAACCCUGAUGCAGCAACGCCGCGUGGGUGAAGAAGCUUUUCGGAGCGUAAAGCCCUAUUGUUAGAGAAGAAGAUGACGGUACCUAACUAAGAAGCACCGGCUAACUACGUGCCAGCAGCCGCGGUAAUACGUAGGGGGAAAGCGUUAUCCGGAUUUACUGGGCGUAAAGGGGGCGCAGACGGCAUUGCAAGUCAGGUGUGAAAGCCCGGGGCUCAACCCUGGGACUGCACUUGAAACUGCAAGGCUGGAGUACAGGAGGGGCAGGCGGAAUUCCUAGUGUAGCGGUGAAAUGCGUAGAUAUAAGGAGGAACACCGGUGGCGAAGGCGGCCUGCUGGACUGUAACUGACGUUGAGGCCCGAAGGCGUGGGGAGCAAACAGGAUUAGAUACCCUUGUAGUC